rnacentral:rRNA from 1 species
AUUGAACGCUGGCGGCAGCCCUAACACAUGCAAGUCGAGCGGAGCGGCGGACGGGUGAGUAAUGCCUAGGAAUCUGCCUGGUAGUGGGGGAUAACGUCCGGCAACGGGCGCUAAUACCGCAUACUAUCAGAUGAGCCUAGGUCGGAUUAGCUAGUUGUUGGGGUAAAGGCCUACCAAGGCGACGAUCCGUAACUGGUCCGAGAGGAUGAUCAGUCACACUGGAACUGAGACACGGUCCAGACUCCUAAGGGAGGCAGCAGUGGGGAAUAUUGGACAAUGGGCGAAAGCAGGAUGCAGCCAGGCCGCGUGUGUGAAGAAGGGCUUCGGAUUGUAAAGCACUUUAAGUUGGGAGGCGUUACCAACAGAAUAGGCACCGGAUAACUACGUGCCAGCAGCCGCGGGAAUUC